GUUUCGAUUCAAGCCAUAGCAAAUUUACAACAGACACUUUCUCCUAUUUAAGUAUAGCUCUAUUUCAAUCUUAUUCUUAGCUUUAAUCUCCUAACCAUGUCGGACAAGUGUGGCAACUGCGACUGCUCUAGCGCCAGCCAGUGUGUAUAACUACAGCGCGAUGAACGCUGGAGCACGACAGCAGUUUGUCUAAAACUAUAUAUAUGAUGUUUUAAGGAAUAACAGUACCUUGUUAUUGUAGUGGAAUAAACUGUGUUGUGGUCAGUCCUAAUUGCCAAAGUGAAAAAAUGUAAGGAGUCACUCUAGACUGUAGUCUCUGUGUCUCUUUGGUCAAGUUUGUAACACAACUUUUCAUUGUUAAAUAGAUUAUUAUAAUAGUACACCAUCUUCUCA